AGAUUGAACGCUGGCGGCAUGCCUUACACAUGCAAGUCGAACGGCAGCACGGGGGCAACCCUGGUGGCGAGUGGCGAACGGGUGAGUAAUGCAUCGGAACGUGCCCAGUAGUGGGGGAUAACUAGUCGAAAGAUUAGCUAAUACCGCAUACGACCUAAGGGUGAAAGCGGGGGAUUCGCAAGAACCUCGCGCUAUCGGAGCGGCCGAUGUCUGAUUAGCUAGUUGGACGGGUAAAAGCCCACCAAGGCUUCGAUCAGUAGCUGGUCUGAGAGGACGACCAGCCACACUGGGACUGAGACACGGCCCAGACUCCGUACGGGAGCAGCAGUGGGGAAUUUUGGAACAA
rnacentral:rRNA from 1 species